UACGGGGGGUGCAAGCGUUAUUCGGAUUUAUUGGGCGUAAAGGGCGCGUAGGCGGUCGGGUAAGUCUGAUGUGAAAUCGUUACGGCUCAACCGAACAAAUGCAUUGGAUACUGUCCGACUUGAGUGCAGUAGAGGUUAGCGGAAUUCCCGGUGUAGCGGUGGAAUGCGUAGAUAUCGGGAGGAAUACCUGUGGCGAAGGCGGCUAACUGGUCUGUAACUGACGCUGAGGCGCGAAAGCGUGGGGAGCAAACGGG
rnacentral:rRNA from 1 species